rnacentral:ncRNA from 8 species
UGUGCAAACCCAUGCAAAACUG